AGUCGAGAUACAAAGAUGUUUCUAAACUGGUCUGAACUGUUACGGAAAGGCACCGGCAAUGGCCAGCAGCCAAUGGCCGGUUGCGAUAAGCGCGGUGGAUAAAGGCCUGCCUGGGAAGUUGCAGGUCGCUCGCUUAUCUUAUCGUACGCGAUAGUCCGAUGUUUACUUUUGACUGGUGGAACUGUUACUUUAUUUUCAACAAAAUUAACGAAACAUUCAGCACAUUAUGUCACAUCAAACGUAGAAUUGUGCCAUUCAUUCUGGAUAAUCCAAACACAAAUGAACGCUGGCGGCGGAACGUUGGUUUUGGUUGUACUGGCAAGUACCUCCUCCAAGUGCUGUUUUCAUCCCGUAAAUCAACCACUUUAAAUGACCUCGCGUGCAAAAAUAAGUUCCAGUCAUCAUCCCACGAUCAUUCCCACACACAUUCUCUCUCUCAAAAGAUGCAUACUUUCACGUAAGGCGUCAUCGACACGUCCUGCUAUUCGAAUGUUCCAGGCAGAGCUAUUGAAGAUUGGUAUUGAAUCUCCCAGUCAAAGAAGACACAAAGCGGCCUAAAAUUCCACAACACAAAUUUAUAUUUUAUUAUCGUUAUGGAAUUUUAAAGCAUCGGAGAAAUCAAAUCUAUAAUAAGAACUUUGAAAACGAGCCUACAAAACUUAACCUGCCCUAAGCUCGCUCGGUUCAGGGGUUAAUGUACGUGCAUUAUACAUCGCAUUGGCCCUUUCCUUUUCCUUCGAUUCCCCGAAUCCAGCUAACUAAAGUCCUUUUUUCUAAUGCGUCAUUCUUGAUCUUCCCGUGUUCCUUUUCGGGCCCAGGAGGGAGCCGGCAAAGUCACCCAAACAAUGAAAACCAGUUCAAACCGGUUAUAGGGCCCGUGAGAGGAACCUGUCGCUUUCAUGCUGCAUUAAUGAUUUUGUUUGCUUUCCUUCCUUCCAAUCGUGAUAGAAGCUUUGGUUGAUAAUUCUUGCUUCAGGAAUUUUGUCGAUAAGAUCCCACACGACCCAAGGGCGAGGGCUUGAGACUUUGGUUGAUAAAACUGUUAUCAUUGUUAUUGGGGGAAGUUUGCUUCUAGAAGUUAUGAAGGAAGGGCCUUUCGGAGCAUUCAGAAAUUGUUGAAGACUGAACGGUAUAAACCAAUUCAAUUCCGGCUUAAAGAAGUUCAUUAGCCCACACGAUUUUAGUUCCGAACCCUUUACCAUUUCUGUUCAUCCCAGACUCAGACUGGGAAGUUCUACCUCCAGUAUUUCCCUUCUCUUUGCACCUUGUAUUAAAUCCCGGAAUACAUUCAGCACGUCACAGAGCAGCAGCAAAAGGAGAAAAUCUCCUCUUCGUACGAUACAAAGGGGCCUUUUCUCGUGCUCCAUCAUUUAAACUGGAAACCUCACACAUCCUACGGCUUUUUGUCGCGUUGCAUGCUUCGCUUACCGCAAACGACGUUUUGUGUCCCCAUUUCUCUUUGCAUCCCACAGUGCACAAUAUGCACCAGUGCCGUUGCUUGCAUCUGUCUGUCCUCUAAAUCUGAUGCAGUGCACAGCCACAGUAUGCCAUGAAACGCCCUGAGGCAGAAGGCCCAGCCAAACAGUGCAUGUCAAAACAGGCGCACCACCAUGACUGUGUUUGUUGACAGACGAAAGUCACCACCAAUAUGUCAGCAGAGCGUCAGUCGUGUGAGUGUGUGGGGGGGAGGAGGCGGGAAUAGUUGCGAUAAGAGAAAGUAUGCGUUCUUAUCACGUUCUCGGGGAGUGUUUUGUUUGCCACAACGCAGUGCCGUUGACGGAAGAGGACGACGUCAGGGACAUUCUGUUACUUUGGUGGAGGCCGGCUGGAGGAAGACGGCAAUGUUCUAAACGAGGACUUUAGAAUUUGUUGGACGUGUUUUACAAACAGUUCGGACACUGUUUCGACAAAUGGAAGGCAAUGAACCAGAGAGUGUUGAAGGCAUUUCUAAGGACGAAUGACUUCCCUUCGCAUUCAGUUGGCGAAGGCAUUGGUUGGACAAAGAAUAUCUAAACUCUUGAAAUUACCAUUUCAAACGGCAUGAGCCGUACCACCGCUCUAUUGCUGGAUACAAAUGCGUCCCAAUUAAUCUCAAGGUUGAAUGGAUCGUCACACACAGCAGCAGCAGCAGAACACACAUGGACCGAGCGCGUCGUCCGUUCUCGUUCGUUGUUGUAAAAAGUUACAAAUAUAAACAACGGGUUGACGCUCUCUCUCUCUCUCUCUCUCUCUUUCUCUCUCGCUCUCAUCAUACUAUCGCGCUAUCGGAUGCUGCGAGUAGUUCGAUACGGCAUCAUCCCUCUUUGGGCAGUGGAAAUGGUUGGCGUGAAACGGGACGACGCAAGAAGACGAUGACACUGACAUUGGAACAUUGAGGGUGGCCGUCCGUCCCCGGGUCGAUUGCAUCAUGCGCAUGAGCUGCGCGGCAAACACAGGACACAGUGGAGGAGGACGAUGCACUGUUUUCCCCGGUCGUUAAGGGCGAGAGUACAUCGGGGUGAAUAUCUCUCACAGGGAGGAUGAGAAGCGAAGGUGAGUUAGAGGGAGAUGCCACACUUCGUUCUUCCCAAACACCGUCGUAAUCGUAGUAACCGUGUGUAUGUCCGCAAAGGCAAAAGUGCAAGAACAUUUUGGUCUUUGAACUUUACCUUUUCCUUUCAACAGGAGAGAGAGGUUGGGGGUGCUUUUGGGGGUGACGAACAGAGAGUUUACUUACCUCGCGCAACGGUGUGCUGCCUUUGACCUGCUGGGACUGCUGUUGUUGGGAUGUUGAAAGGGUUUCUUCAACCGAGGAAGACGACACCCUUAAACCAUGCUCCAACGCCGCGCCAGGAAACACUGUAAAAACAACUCCUAAAACGUGCUGCCCAGCGGUCGAACGUCAAAUAUAUUCACACACACAUACACAUCAGGCCUUUGGUAAGCCAGUGGAGCAGCUCCACGCAUCACACAUGUGCGCAAAACACUUUCCACCAACACAUACACACACGAG